CUUUAGAUCACUUAUCUCUUUCCCCCCUCCUACACCAGCUUCGCAACAUCUCGGAUCUCCUCUCACCUCCCCUUCUCGAGCUCUCUAAGAGAAAAGGGGCAAUUUUUAGGGGACCUGCAGAAUUCGGCACGAUACUGGACACUGAAUCAUCGAUGGGGUCAAGGUCGCAACCCUCAUAUGCAAGAUUGUUGCCAUUUUCCUGUGGUUUUUCACGAGAAGGGAGGGAUGCUGGCCCAGACCCCGGAGGAGCGGUGCCCUACAAAUCAGGCCUCAGUAACAUCCACUUUCAGUUCUGGUGUCAAUAAUAGACUUCUUGUCAUUUGAAUUAAACAUCGGAUUCAAGUUGUGUAGAAUAUAAAACAAAUAAAUCCCUGUUGCUUUUACUAUAUACCCAAAUAUCUGAACAAAAGCGUGUUGGACUAUAUUUAUUCGUAGUCUUGUAUGUAAGAGAAAUAAAAUGUAUGUCUCACA